UUGUCCUGUGAGCAGGACGCCCCCACCCUCUCAGCGCACGGCCCGGAAGUCGGCCGGCCUUGGCUUGCGGCCCGCGUUCCCUGCGUGUCCUUUGUCCUCCCGCCCUGGGACGAGCCCUGGGCGCCCCAGGCAGCUCCACCCAGCGCCAGCCGCCAUUUAGCCCCGGGCGCCGGCCUCGGGCAAAGUGUGGUCCCGCGCGCACACCUCCUCCUCCCUGGUUUGGUUUUAUCAGUGAGUGGCUCUGAAAUAGCGCCGCUCGGUUCGCCUGAAGGAGACUGGGGACAAAAUGGAGGGAGCGCCUCGUCAGUGAGGAUGCGUCAGGACGUUUGAGCCCGCCGUGUAGACGAGAGGGUGGGCGGGGUACGGGAUUAGGAGGCCUGCAACACGCAUCUGGAGUGUUAGGUGGUGUUCCACGUACACCCUCCCUGCCACUGCGACUUAACGUGUAAUAUGCGUGUGGGCGACAUCAGUCUCCUGGUGUGUGAUAGUGUUUGGCCACUUGCUCAGCGCUCUAAAUAAACAGUGCAGUUCUUUUUCUUGUAUUUUUUUCUACCCACCGUGAGUCUAAAAUGUCCCAUUCAAAACCUUAUGCCUCCUUUACUUGUGUACCUUUAUAUUUCCAAGUAUACUCCCGGGAGAAUGCUCAAGCUUUAGAGAGUUUCAUUGUGCAAAGUCAUGCUGCCGUGCACGCAGUUAAGUGCUGGGUAGGGUUCGCGAUGACUGCUUCCCAUCAAUGAUCAUUAGUUGAGCGGUUUUUUUUUAAUUGCUUAUACUUUCAUGAUUGUCUAAUGCCGUUCUACAAACCCAAUAAAAUACACAAUUUAUGACUUAUGUGUGACUUUUUUUUUUUAAUGAGUAACUGUUAGGGAGAUUUAACUGCUCUAAUAUUAAUUAGGAAAUAGAAUGAAUGUCACCCCUCCCGUGAUACCCUGCCAGUUCGGGGUUUUCUGCUGAAAUUUUUGAGCUAACUAUUCUUUGAGCUCUUGGUCUGGAAGGUAGUAUCUAAGGCAGUGAUAUUCCAUAAUGGAGUGAGGGAUUAUUUUUAAGUAAUUUCUAAUUGCGUUGUAAAGGAAGGACAGCUGGACAAGUACCAGGAAGUGCCCUCACCUCACUGUCUGGUUGAGAGAAAAAUAUACAAGCCUUGUGCCUCCUGUCACGCAUCUCUGGCCGGCUGCACCUGCGCCCUUCUCUUCUGUAUCUGAGGAAGACCCGAGGAAAUUUCAAACACAUGCAUCAGUUGAAAGAAUAGUGCAGUGAACCUUCAUGGGCUCCACAUCCAGUCUCCACAACUGACAACUCAUGGCUAUCUUGUUGGAGGGAAGAUACCCGCCCCCUCCCCAACCCUAGGAUUAUGUUGAAGGAAAUACUAGGUUUAUUUUAAAGUAGCUCCAUAUUCCCAACCUGAAACACGGAAAAUCACAAUUGUCAACCAACACUUAUUGAGGAGUGAAUUUUUUUUAUUUUGUGGAAGAAACCAAGUUAUUUGCCUGUGGAAUUUCCCCUCUGUUAGAUUUGGCUGACCGAUCACUGCUGGUUCAUUUACUGUUCCUGUACCUCCUGUUUCCUGUCAACUGGUCAGUUACGCCAGAGGCUUGAUUAGAUUCAGGUUUGCCGGCAAGAGCACUUCUUAGUCGUGCCACAUACUUCACUUCUCACUUUGAAGACUGGCCACGGGAGACUGCAGUGGAGUCAGUCUGAUCCCUGCAUUCUGAAGCUCCUCAUCAACCUUGCAGCUGGUGGUUUUAGCAGCUGUUGAUAACUGUGGUCCAAAUACAUCAUUUAAUUAGUGGAUACCAAUUCUUCCAGACUGAUUAACUGGACUUCCAUAAAGAAGAACAUUCCUUUAUCAACUCUUUAGUUACCUUGAAACACAGGCUGAGUGUGAAGGUGGGAUAAAUGCUUCCCUCCUUUCCUUCAUUUACCAAUUUUCAUAAAAAUGUGUUGGUGCCAUAGCAACCUCCAAAGACAAGCAGUGAAAGGUUGUGUGUGUGUGUGUGUGUGUUUGAUUAGUGUCAUUAUGAACACUUGGAUUUUUAGAAUUUUGUUGUUUUUCAAUCCAUGGUAGCCAUUAUUCUUUUGACAAUCAAAUUUUUCCAUUCUUGGCUCACAAAUUGGUUCCUGUAUCUAACAGUCUUGGGGUGCCAUUGCUUCUGGGCUCUUGCAGUGGGCAGAGGUGGAGAGAAUAAUUUUGUUAAAUUGUGAAUUCAUAUUGAUAUUCAAAUAAGGACAUUUAUAAUCUGGGCACUAGGGAUGCUCAUUGCCAUUAAGUGUGAUUGCUUCUUGGCCUUUUUAGUAAACAGUUACUAUAUAAGAAAUAAUAGUGCCUAUUAAUGAGUUACAGAAAUUUUACUCACCUUCUCUGGAUUUUCUACUCUUGUCUCUUUUUUUCUUUAUACUGAAAAUCUUGGUUCCCAAGAUAUUAAUAUAAUGAUUUGCCCUAUCUAUUUAUCUAGCUAGCUAGCUCACUACUUUUUGCCCUUGGAGUACACCCCACCAGGGUAUGCAGUCAAUAUUGUGUUUUAGUCUUUCUCUGUGUAGAUAUGCCACCAACUUGAUAUGCACUUAGAUUCAUUUGUUUCACUUGGUCAUUUUGAAAUUUAAAAAAUUUCCCUGCCUUUCAAAAUUUCAUAAUAAACAUAUUUCCAGGAGAUAUGUUUGAAUAAAUACCUUGAGUAGAAGCUUCCAGGAGAGAAGGGGCCCCUCCCUUUGCACCUGUGCUCCCCUCCCACCCCUGAAAUGCUGCAAACUCCCCUUCGUGCUUGCUAGGUGCCCUGCCUUUGCCUUCUUGUGUGACCAUCUCUGCCUCUGAAUGAGAGAGAUAUUUUUAUUACUAUUUUGCUGAUGAAGAAAUUGAUUCUCAAAGAGGUCAAGUAACUGCCCAAGUCACACAAUUAGUAAGUGGAAAGUCCAGAAUUUAUCACAAGUGUGCCUUGUCUAAAACCCUAUCUUCUUUUCCAUUCUGCCUUGUUACCUGUCAGUAACUCUAAACAUGUGUAAAUUUAAGUCUAGAAAUUUGUUCCAUUCCAUUUCAGUGGAGGUUUAGCAUGUUUAUUUUCUACUGCUUAAGACUGCAUCCAGCGUGUUCCCUGUAGCUGUCUGGGUAAUAGCCCAAAAUGGAAACAACCCAAGUUCUCAUCAGCAGUAGAAUGAGAACAAAAGAAUUAUUACUAAUGUGACCCUUUGAGUGACUUUCAGAAGUAGAUGGGUUAGUGGAAAAAGCCAGAUGUUAAAGUAUAUAUGCUGUAGGUUACCAUUUAUAUAAAAUUCAAAAACAAGAUAAAUCUACAGUCUGCAAGCUGCAGGGAGGGGGUCAGUGAAUGGGAAGGAGUGGCAGUGCUGAAGUGGUCUGCUCUCUUUCUUGAUUUGGGUGUUGGUUACAGGAGAAUAUUUGCUUUACAAAAAAAAAUCAAUAUUAGGUCAAUAUUAUUAUCCUCAUCAUCUUUAUUUAAUGGAAAAAGAAACGGAGGCUUAGAGAAGUUAAAUAAUUUGCCCAAGGUCAAAUAAAAGUGGCUGGACUGGGAUUCUAACUCUGUACUCUCUAAGGCCACAGUCCAUGUACUUAACCACUGCACAAGCGUCAGAAGAUGAGCAGUGGUGGAGGAGACAUUCUGGAUGCAGGAGGUGGCCAUUUAGGGUGUGAGGCUGGCAGGGGUGGGAGGAAACUGAGAGGUGGGGGACACAGUGCAGUACUUAAACCAAGCCCAGGACAAACCGUGUUCCUGAGGCUCCUGGGAAUGUCCUAAAAUGAGGGAGUCUGGAUUUUGGCUCUGGGGGUGAUGCGUGGGGUCCCUGCAGAGCACUAGGGGUUAGGGAAAAGCCACAGUGUCCACCAGACAGGAAUCUUUUAUCUGUGACACUCCCAACGUGAUCCUGCCAAUUUAUCCCCUCUACUUUCUUCUUCACUAUCACUCAGCAUCCUGCCUCUUCACCAUCAGGAUAUUGUCAUCACAGCAGGAAGGAUGUAUGACCCCAAGAAGUCACUAACGCAGGAAAUCUCAAAAAGGAACCAGAAUGAGCAAUUCUAAUCCAUUCUAACAAAUGUAUAUAUACAAAAAUUUACCCAUGGACACUGUAUCACACCUUUAGGAUGGCUGGAGAGGUAUGGCAAAUGACACAGUAACAAUUAGAGAUGAAGCUUAAGAUUUAUUGCUGUACUAUCUCUUGCAGCCUUGUAGAAAAAUUCUAAAACUCAAAGCAUCCUUUUUCUCAGCCUAUGAACCAUUCAUAAGCUUUUUAUUUCCUUGGCAAUACAAAGCAUCUGUGGCUUAUGAUUUAGUAACAAAAAAGAGCUUGUAUCACUCUUUCCCUCCUUUUGAGAAAAGAUAAGCAGCUAUUACAGGAGAGCCACUUUUUCUCACCUAAGAUACAGGGCCAUCAAGCUUAGCCUGAGUUCAUAUCAAUAAAAGCCUAUGAACAGCAGCCCUUUCUACAUUGCACGUGAAGAAAGACGGUUCUUAGAGUAGCAGUCACAACUGGCCUCACCCUUGUGCUAAGCCCUGGCCCCUCAGAGACCGUCUUUCAUUCCUCAUUGGCCCUCAAAGCCUGGCCGGUGCGCUGUGUUAUUCUCAGCCCCCCAGGAGCUGGGUGGCAUAUUUAGGGGAGACUCUGAAUAGCCCUCAUGUGCUUCUGUCCCUGCUACCAGUGGGCUGUCAUCUCUUAUCAGAAGACCACUCUGAGAAUUUCUCACCUUUCAUUCUCCACAUGUUAGGUCCUAAUGUUUUGUUAAGAUAGUUUAUGAGGUUUUAUUAUGAUAACAUUAAGUAAAUUAAGACAUUUUAAAGGAUGAAAAAGACGCAGUAUUUUCAUGAUAUAUACACUGUAUUUACAUGUUGAAUCUAACUUUCCAAACAAAAAUUGCCGGCGCUAACACUCAUUUAUGUAGAUUGUGAUCAAAGGACAACGAAUAAUUGCUCGUUUUAUCCUAACACAUGGCAUUGCAUAAACAUUUCAAAACCUCCUUUUCUUAGUGCAGAGAUGCUAUGGGCAACAAAGAACACACCCUAGUGGCCAACUCCUGUAAUUAUCAUUACGUUAUCUAUAAAGUUAAGUGUAAAAACAAAGUUACAGAAACCCACUGUGUAUUUGUGCUGAUGUGAGAAGAUUCCACAGUUUUCUGCCUUGCAAUUUCUUUAUAUUAUUCACAAAAAACUUCCCUGGAAAAUCAAACACAGAUACAGAAAAUCACAUAAAAAUGAACAUAUAGCUUAA